rnacentral:rRNA from 2 species
AGACCUGAUAUUAAGUAAGAUUACC